UACGUAGGGUGCGAGCGUUAAUCGGAAUUACUGGGCGUAAAGCGUGCGCAGGCGGUUUCACAAGCUCGAUGUGAAAGCCCCGGGCUUAACCUGGGAAUGGCAUUGAGGACUGUGGAGCUCGAGUGCGGCAGAGGGAGGUGGAAUUCCACGUGUAGCAGUGAAAUGCGUAGAGAUGUGGAGGAACACCGAUGGCGAAGGCAGCCUCCUGGCCGACACUGACGCUCAUGCACGAAGCGU
rnacentral:rRNA from 1 species